UUUUUUAUUUUUUUUAUUUUCGAAUCUAAUUUUUCUAUUUCUUUCUGUUGUUGUUUUUUUUGAAUUUUCGAAACUGAUAUAUAUAUAUUUUGUUUUGAAUUUCAAAUUUUCUUGUUGGAGAAGAAAAGUACAACAAUUCCAACCCUAUGCUCUGAUACCAGAUGAUACGAUGUAGCCUAACGAAACAGACUAUCUUCGUAUGUUACGGAUCUAGGAAUGUUGUAAGCACGUUCCUGUAACAAGAAAACAGCAAGGAAUUAAAGAAAUAAUCAUGGUAAAAUAU
rnacentral:lncRNA from 1 species